GGAGACCUUUGUUAUCUACAAUAACUGAUAUUGUGUUUUACAGAGAUGUGACUGUUUUCCUCAACUGACUGUAAGAGGAGUGAGGACCUGGCAGCUGGAAGGGGAGAUGGCCUGAAUUUCUUAUCAAUCUCUUGAUCUUAUACUCCUUGAGAGGGUGAAACAGAACAGGAAACCUGGUUUUGCUUCAGUUCUCAGUAUUUGAAAUCCAGUGGGACCUUUUGGUACAAAAGCUCAAUUUGGACUUGAUGGGAACCCAGUUUACUAGUUUAAGUCACUGUUGGCUAAUACAGCUUGAAGCUGUUCCACAAUAAAGCACAACAUUCAGCUGUGAGCUUUAUCACUGGGACUCAUCUGACCUUUCCCAGGCCUCUGAAGGGAAGGACCAGGCCUGUCUUUGGCUUUCGAUUCAGCAGACAGGGACUGUCUGGUGUCAAAGAGAACCAGAGGCAGCACCCUGCUUGAGUAAAAUUACUUGUUUUUGUGUGCCAUGUCUCUCAUUUUUAAAGAGAGCUUUGUACAACCUUGUGACAGUUUCAACUAUGACUUUGAAAAAAACCUGGG
rnacentral:lncRNA from 1 species